rnacentral:lncRNA from 1 species
GUUGUAUCGUUCGAGUUGGAUUCGCUAAAAUAAGUAUUUCACUUUAGUAACAUAUAGUUUAAAGUAUAUCACUUUAAUAUCCUAUGGUUUUAUAUUUCUCUUUUUGUCGGCACUUCUGUUAACUCUCCGUUAAAUCAUAUUAAAAAAACUUCAGAUAUCCCACAUAUGAUUUAUUGAAUAUUCACUUUAGUACUUUGUGACUUAGGGCGUGUUUGGUACUCUGUAAAAGUAGCCGGAAAUUUUUUUUCCAUGUAAAAUUUCACUUUUUGAUGUUUGGUUGUUAGUAAAAAAUUUUCCAGGGAAAAAAAUUUUUACGUGUUAUAUGAAAAUCCAAAGUUUUCGUUUUCCGCUCGCUGCAACGGGAAAACGAAAACCACCGCACAAACUCAGGGGCCUUCUUUGUGCGCGGUCCACGAGGUGCCCUUCACCUCGUGGACCGCGUGAGAGAGAGAGUCCGAGGUGCCCUUACCGAAUUUUUUACUUUACUGGUAUGUGGUUUUAGCUUUAUUACUGAUAUAAUAAAAAAAAUAAUGGAGGGGAUAACGGAAAGAGAAAAACGAAAACACAGAAUACUAAAGUGAUAUAUUUUAAAUCAUAGAGUACUAAAGUGAGAAAGCGCGAAAUUACAGGAGUGAUAUUUGAAGUUUUUCCAUAUAUUUGAUAUGGCCAGUUACAGAUGAUCUAAGAGAUGACGAUUUAAUUUCUAAAAGUUUUCUUUUUACUCCAUUC